rnacentral:rRNA from 1 species
GAUGAACGCUAGCUACAGGCUUAACACAUGCAAGUCGAGGGGCAGCGCAGUGUAGCAAUACAUGGGCGGCGACCGGCGCACGGGUGCGUAACGCGUAUCCAACCUUCCCGUUACUCAGGGAUAGCCUUCCGAAAGGGAGAUUAAUACCUGAUGGUGUUGAAAUUCCGCAUGUUAUUUCAACUAAAGAUUUAUCGGUAACGGAUGGGGAUGCGUGACAUUAGGUAGAUGGCGGGGUAACGGCCCACCAUGCCUACGAUGUCUAGGGGUUCUGAGAGGAAGGUCCCCCACACUGGAACUGAGACACGGUCCAGACUCCUACGGGAGGCAGCAGUGAGGAAUAUUGGUCAAUGGUCGGAAGACUGAACCAGCCAAGUAGCGUGAAGGAUGAAGGUUCUAUGGAUUGUAAACUUCUUUUAUACGGGAAUAAAACGUCCCACGUGUGGGAUCUUGUAUGUACAGUAUGAAUAAGCAUCGGCUAACUCCGUGCCAGCCGCCGCUGUAAAAC